rnacentral:rRNA from 1 species
AUUGAACGCUGGCGGCAUGCCUUACACAUGCAAGUCGAACGGUAACGCGGGGCAACCUGGCGACGAGUGGCGAACGGGUGAGUAAUGCAUCGGAACGUGCCCAGUAGUGGGGGAUAACUGCUCGAAAGAGCAGCUAAUACCGCAUACGACCUGAGGGUGAAAGCGGGGGAUCGCAAGACCUCGCGCUAUUGGAGCGGCCGAUGUCAGAUUAGGUAGUUGGUGGGGUAAAGGCCCACCAAGCCAACGAUCUGUAGCUGGUCUGAGAGGACGACCAGCCACACUGGGACUGAGACACGGCCCAGAUUCCUACGGGAGGCAGCAGUGGGGAAUUUUGGACAAUGGACGCAAGUCUGAUCCAGCCAUGCCGCGUGCGGGAAGAAGGCCUUCGGGUUGUAAACCGCUUUUGUCGGGGAAGAAACGCUCUGGGUUAAUACCUCGGGGUAAUGACGGUACCUGAAGAAUAAGCACCGGCUAACUACGUGCCAGCCGCCGCCGUAACAC